GAGUUUGAUCAUGGCUCAGAUUGAACGCUGGCGGCAUGCCUUACACAUGCAAGUCGAACGGCAGCACGGGAGCUUGCUCCUGGUGGCGAGUGGCGAACGGGUGAGUAAUGCAUCGGAACGUAUCCUGGAGUGGGGGAUAACGUAGCGAAAGUUACGCUAAUACCGCAUAUUCUGUGAGCAGGAAAGCGGGGGACCUUCGGGCCUCGCGCUCUUGGAGCGGCCGAUGUCGGAUUAGCUAGUUGGUGAGGUAAAGGCUCACCAAGGCGACGAUCCGUAGCAGGUCUGAGAGGAUGAUCUGCCACACUGGAACUGAGACACGGUCCAGACUCCUACGGGAGGCAGCAGUGGGGAAUUUUGGACAAUGGGGGCAACCCUGAUCCAGCCAUGCCGCGUGAGUGAAGAAGGCCUCGGUUGUAAGUAC
rnacentral:rRNA from 1 species